UUUCAGGCUUCUUUUAAGACCUGCCUCUGCGCGAUACCCCACAGCCACUCCUUCUCAUGUUGAUUUGUUAGGGUUGAAGUGCUGAUUCCUAGAACUUGAAGGCUGUUAUCCUCCAGCUCCUGGAUCAGGGAAAAGGACAGAUGGAAGAGGAGGAAAGGGAGAAAAUAGGACACUUUAUGGAAAUAAUUCUGAACAAAAAUACUUCCUUCAAGAGGUACUAAGGAUCCUCCUAAACUCAGAAGCCACAGAGAUUUGGUAAUGGGGGAAAGAGAGUCUUUAGAAGACACAUCUUCAGACACCCCACAAAUCCCUGGCUCUGGAGGUACCAGCAAAACUCCAGCGGGGCUUAAUGUUCCAUUUAACUAUUAAUGGAUCUAAAAUUUUUUUCAAAAGAUACCGAUCCCUAACUACAUCGCCAAAGGAAGAUUUGGGACAGGAGGCCACUCUGCUCAGAGUGCCGACUACAUCAUGUCACUAGGAUUUUCUCAGUAAAAAAGAGACUACUACUACUAUG